UACGGGGGGGGCAAGCGUUGUUCGGAAUUACUGGGCGUAAAGGGCUCGUAGGCGGCCAACUAAGUCAGACGUGAAAUCCCUCGGCUUAACCGGGAAACUGCGUCUGAUACUGGAUGGCUUGAGGUUGGGAGAGGGAUGCGGAAUUCCAGGUGUAGCGGUGAAAUGCGUAGAUAUCUGGAGGAACACCGGUGGCGAAGGCGGCAUCCUGGACCAAUUCUGACGCUGAGGAGCGAAAGCCAGGGGAGCAAACGGG
rnacentral:rRNA from 1 species